rnacentral:rRNA from 1 species
AACGAACGCUGGCGGCAUGCCUAACACAUGCAAGUCGAACGAGACCUUCGGGUCUAGUGGCGCACGGGUGCGUAACGCGUGGGAACCUGCCCUUAGGUUCGGAAUAACUCCCCGAAAGGGGUGCUAAUACCGGAUAAUGUCUUCGGACCAAAGAUUUAUCGCCUUUGGAUGGGCCCGCGUUGGAUUAGCUAGUUGGUAGGGUAAAAGCCUACCAAGGCGAUGAUCCAUAGCUGGUCUGAGAGGAUGAUCAGCCACACUGGGACUGAGAUACGGCCCAGACUCCUACGGGAAGCAGCAGUGGGGAAUAUUGGACAAUGGGCGAAAGCCUGAUCCAGCAAUGCCGCGUGAGUGAUGAAGGCCUUAGGGUUGUAAAGCUCUUUUACCCGGGAUGAUAAUGACAGUACCGGGAGAAUAAGCUCCGGCUAACUCCGUG